UACGGAGGGUGCGAGCGUUGUCCGGAAUCACUGGGCGUAAAGGGCGCGUAGGCGGCCGAGCAAGGUCGCGGUGAAAGCCCGGGGCUCAACCCCGGGUCGGCCGUGGCAACUACUCGGCUCGAGCACUGUAGGGGCGGGUGGAAUUCCGGGUGUAGCGGUGGAAUGCGUAGAGAUCCGGAAGAACACCGGUGGCGAAGGCGACUUCCUGGCCUGUUCUUGACGCUGAGGCGCGAAAGCUAGGGGAGCAAACGGG
rnacentral:rRNA from 1 species